rnacentral:rRNA from 1 species
GAUGAACGCUAGCUACAGGCUUAACACAUGCAAGUCGAGGGGUAACAAGAGAAAAGCUUGCUUUUCUUGUUGACGACCGGCGCACGGGUGAGUAACGCGUAUCCAACCUGCCUAUAACUAGGGAAUAACCUUGCGAAAGUAAGACUAAUGCCCUAUGACUUCCUUUGGCGGCAUCAAAAAAGGAAUAAAGAUUUAUCGGUUAUAGAUGGGGAUGCGUCUGAUUAGCUUGUUGGCGGGGUAACGGCCCACCAAGGCAACGAUCAGUAGGGGUUCUGAGAGGAAGGUCCCCCACAUUGGAACUGGGACACGGUCCAAACGCCUACGGGAGGCAGCAGUGAGGAAUAUUGGUCAAUGGGCGGAAGCCUGAACCAGCCAAGUAGCGUGCAGGAUGACGGCCCUAUGGGUUGUAAACUGCUUUUAUACAGGGAUAAAGUUAGCCACGUGUGGUUAUUUGCAGGUACUGUAUGAAUAAGGACCGGCUAAUUCCGUGCCAGCCGCCGCGGUAAUAC